rnacentral:misc_RNA from 1 species
CUCUCCUCUUUUCUGUGUAGCGUAGUAUCAGCCUCCUUGCGCCAGCGGAGCCCUUGCGGGCUAGAAGGUGUCUGCGCUCCCCAUCGUAAAGGCGCUUCCUAAUUUCGCCGGGCCCACGCGUCACCCCCGCCCACCCCAUUUCAGGGUGUCACAGGCUACCAACACGCACAUGCGAACAGACGUUUUCACGCUCUGAGAAUGGAGGCGCAGCUUUUCCAACUUCACCGCUCGGAGUGGUAUGAGCGGGUCCAGGUCUUUCUCGUCUUGGCAACGGAGCGCGUGACGUCGCUUCGGUCCGGCAUCUUCUGGACCCUCUCUUACGUGCUGCUGCUGGCCCUCAUGUAUCUCUUUCACUCGCCGUUCCGCUCGCAGCUGGAGACCCGCACGGACUGGUACGCGCAGGUCACGAAGGGGCUGCAGAUAUGGCUCGCGGUGGUCCUCCUGUGUUUCCACGUCGGGCCUCAUUUGGUGGAGUCUCGCUCUGCCGCUGCCGCCUCGACGGCCGCGAAGUCGGUGUCCUCGGACGCAACGCAGCACAUCCUCGCCGAGGACGCGGUGACCACCAUCUUCUUUCCGACCUUCUGCUUCACUAGCUCCUUCUGCCUGCUCCUGCACAAGAUCAAGCGCCGCUACAAGCUCGCCUUUACCUACGGGCCCAGCUUCACGGUUGUGAUGAUCAACUCGGUGCUCUUGUCGAGCUUCGCGAUGAUGCACUACGCGGCAUGCAGUGAGGUCUUUUCGACAGUGGAGAUCGCCGUCGGGGCGCCGGAGAAGACGUGGCCGAUUCCUUUCAUUGGAAGCCUGACACCGCCGUCGACGUGGCUUCGGGCAUCUCAGGUCGUCUGCCCGCAGCCAGUCGCCAAGAAGCCCUUUGCAUGCCUUGCCUUUUUAUGCUCUCUCUGCGUAGCCUUUGUGUGGAUCGAUUAUCUUUACAAGAAGCAUCUCGCCGGCGGAGACCCGUCGCGCGGCAUCCUGUGGGCCGACAUGUACCCGGAGAAAGCGCGGAGCAACAACUCUCCGCAGGCUGCCUCGUUGCGUGCCUCCCUAAUCUUUCGCUGCUGGGGCCUGCGACGCACCCGCACCCGCGACAAUCACGUAGCGAAGAGCCUUGGGCUCCCCGAGGGCGAUCCAAGACUCCAGGAGGCGGCCCCGCAGACCAUUUCGCUGCCCAGUCACGCAAAACACCCCAAGCGGCGGGGCGACGGCGACGUGGACCCGACCGGGUGGCAGGACGAGCACGACCGACUCGGCGUGUCAGCCGAAAAGUACGUCUCCCACCCCGCGAACCGGCCGGGCAUGGUGCCGUGGUUCUCCACCUUCAUCAUUAGGACGACAUGGCAGGCGCUGGCGCGCAUGUCGCUCGAGUUCCUCACCUUCGACGUCCGUGUGCUGCAGCACUACGCGAAACCGAAGAUUUUCGAGUUCCACUUCGGGUCGUCCCUGAACCAGUUGCCGCACUUUCGCAUCGACGGCGACGACGACAGCACGUACACCGACAACGAGCCCGCUGCGGCUGGUGCUGCCAACCUCUCUGUCACCUCUCCUUCGACACCACUGCGUUGUCAGGCAACGGAAGCACUCGUGCCGUCGCCGCCCAAGACAUCCCCGGGAAGGAAGGAGGCCGAGAAAGGCGACAGGGAUAUCUGGUUCGACUGGAUCGCCGACGUCGGGGAUGGCUUUAACCCAACUUAUGCCAUGGCCCGCCUCCUGGCCCGGCCAUCCCUCAAAAUACGGUGGCAUCGCCCGCCGAGCAAGAGAGUCGGUCUUUCCUUCCUGCCGACCUUUGAUGACUCGACGCCGACGAACACGCCGACUGUCGACAGGGAACCCUUCGUGCUGCCGCGUGGGUCUUUUGUGCUGGUUGGCGGCGACCUCGCCUAUCCCAGCCCUAACGACGAGACGUACACGACGCGCCUGUUUGAGCCGUACCACGACGCAAUGAGCAGCAACGUGCGGCUGCAGAGCGUGUUCCACGCGGAGCAGCGGCGCGUGGUUGUCGCGGACGCGAGCGACGCGGACGUUGCCCACAUACACCUGUUGGACGCUGAGACGGUGUCUAGGAUGGCGACGGGGCGUGCUGCGCUGCGGACGGGGCGCGCGACGGCGGAGGAGGCGCUGCGGAGCGUGCCGCUGCUGUUCGCGAUCCCCGGCAACCACGACUGGUUCGACGGGCUGACGACGUACCGCAAGUACAUCCUUGAGCGGACGUGGAUAGGCGGGUGGCUGAUGCCGCAGCGAAGCAGCUUCUUUGUGCUGCGGCUGCCGCACAACUGGUUCGUGCUGUGCGGCGACACGGGCAACAUGCAGGACAUCGACGUAGCGCAGCGCAACUACUUCCUAGACGUAAUCGAGAAGUGCAUGGACGCGGAGAGCUGCGUGAUCCUGGCGGCGCACGAGCCGGGCUGGCUUUACGAUUCGAUGCUGCGGAAGUCGGAGCUGACUCAGCCGGAAUUGGCGAAGGUGUCCGAGGCCCUCGGCACGCGCCUGCGUCUGCGACUGGCGGGCGACAUUCACCACUACUCCCGCCAUACGCCGCGCGACGCCAGCUCGGAGGCUGCGACGCUGGUAGUGAGCGGCGGUGGUGGCGCCUUCCUGCACGGUCCACGGAACACACCGGUCGUGUCGCAACUAACGGCGUACCGCCGCGCCUGCGCCUUUCCAGCCCGCAAUACGCUUCCCACGCUGCUGAGUCGCCUGUUGGGGUUUCGAGUGAUCAACUGGAAGUUUGACCUCAUCAUUGGCGUCUUCAGUUUUCUUGUCGUGGUGUCGUUGCUGCCGCAGUCCAUCAAAGAUGUGCGGCACGACUCGGAGAGCAGCCCACUCAUGACGCUGCCAGAUGCGGCGGCGGCGUGGUGGGAACGGGUGUGCGUGUACGUUGUGACGCUCUUCACCAAGGGCAUUGCGUCGGUUUUGGCCACACUUGUCUUCUUCGCAGCCUUCGCGGCAGCGGGCUCUGAGAAGAACGCGCCGGUCUGGAUGCGGCUGCUGCAUUCGUCCUUCUGGACCUUCCUCACGGUGUUCGUCUGCUGCGGCAUGCUCGCCUACCUGAUAUGCACACUGCAGUAUAUGGUGGACAACGACAUGCUGGUAUCCGCCGAUGGUCACUGGGGCAGCGCUGUCGAGGACCAGGUGCGCGCUUCAGUCGACAGUUUGCUUAAUCACACACAGCGGGUACUGGGCGAGGCUCACGCCAGCGUCACCGCGCACGAGCUGCAACGCCUGCAGACGUCUCUUUACGGCGGUUCGCUGGUGAACUGGUGCGGCGUCGUCCUGCGCUGUCUCGAUCCGUUUGAGAUGCUCGCAUACCUGUCGGAGAAGGUUAGCUCGCCGGAGAUGGGCACCUUUACCGAGGAUGCCAGCCGUCUCGACGAGGUGCUCUACUACCUGUACUUCGUCUUCUUCUACUGGAUCCUUGUGACGCCGCUCGUGUCGUUCGUCAUUGGCAGCUAUCUCAUGUGCUGCGUGACGCUCUUCGACAGCCUCUUCGACGCCACCUACUCGGCCUUCCAGAUUGAAGAGUACAAGCACUUUGUGCGCUUCCGCCUCGACGCCGCGACGCGCGAGCUGCACGCGUACGUGAUCAUCAUGUCCCACGUGCCCAAGUCGUGGAGCUGGGACGCUGCGUAUCAGAAGGAGCUGAAGAGUGAGAAGGUGCGAACGGCCCCGCCGCACCUGCGCGCCUACCCGAGCCGCUGGCACGGUAAAAGCUUCCGCACGUCUGUCAGGCGCGACGACGGGAAGCACGCGGGGUACGAUGAGGGCAUGGAGGAGGGGGUGGAGAUUCUCGAGCACUUUGUGUGUGCUCCGCACCGGCCGCCUACGUCAACGUCGACCGCUUAGAGAAAGUCCGUCGGUUCGUCUUCCUUUGUCUUCCGAGAGAGUUGGAGAACACGUGCGGGUACCGUCGUGCUCCUUCUCUCUCUUUUACGUGACGCUUUUCGUUUUUCUCUUGAUGCUCACGUCGAGGGACGCUCCUGAUGCGACUAUGCACGCACUUGAAGGGUUUUGCAGCGGCUUCGUCGCGCAUGCUCGAACGUUCGCACGAUCGCUCCGUCCACGCUGUUUUUCUUGUCUUCUUGGAUCUGCCCAUCUCCGCGGGUCUCCGUGUGCCCCUUUGUUCCUCCCACCUGCUCCUUCUUUUCUGACGGACACACGCACGCAGAGAUGUGUGCAUGUGACACACGCGCGUGUGCGUCUUUUUGCUGCCUACCUGCCUGCGCUUCUACGAGGCGGCAGUUCGCGGCAUGGAAAGGGUUAGGAGAGCAUCGGUGUGUGCAUGCGUAUGCGCGUGUGUGUAUUGUAUGCGAGCAUGUAUUUGGUUCUCUGACCCGAAUGGGCCCACAUGCCCUUUGCACGUGGACUCUCUCUCUCUCUGUCUGAAGACAUCGGGUGGAGGAGAAGAGGCGAGGAACGUGGACAAGAGCGCGCGCACGCACAAGCACAGUGAUGCAGUGCCGCAUAGAUGCUCAGGCGCAUCGCCACGCAUCGCCACGCACACGCCGUUCUGCCAGCUGUCGAAGUUCUACAGCCAAGCAUGCACACACACACACACACACACACACACACAAGUCCGAAAGCAAAAGAAGAAGAGCAACCGCCCGGUGUGUGCUUUGGUCUCGGUAGCGACGGAUCUGUGCGGCUCACCCCCACGCGCGGCACUCGGUGAUGGCAUUCGGCACUGCAGCUCAUCGCCACCCUCUCCUUGCCCCUGGUUCGACAAGCGUGGCGUUCCUUUUUG